AGUGAACGCUGGCGGUAGGCCUAACACAUGCAAGUCGAACGGCAGCACAGUAAGAGCUUGCUCUUACGGGUGGCGAGUGGCGGACGGGUGAGGAAUACAUCGGAAUCUACUUUUUCGUGGGGGAUAACGUAGGGAAACUUACGCUAAUACCGCAUACGACCUACGGGUGAAAGCAGGGGAUCUUCGGACCUUGCGCGAUUGAAUGAGCCGAUGUCGGAUUAGCUAGUUGGCGGGGUAAAGGCCCACCAAGGCGACGAUCCGUAGCUGGUCUGAGAGGAUGAUCAGCCACACUGGAACUGGGAAACGGUCCAGACUCCUAAGGGAGGCAGCAGUGGGGAAUAUUGGACAAUGGGCGCAAGCCUGAUCCAGCCAUACCGCGUGGGUGAAGAAGGCCUUCGGGUUGUAAAGCCCUUUUGUUGGGAAAGAAAAGCAGCAGGUUAAUACCCCGCUGUUCUGACGGUACCCAAAGAAUAAGCACCGGCUAACUUCGUG
rnacentral:rRNA from 1 species